UGAUUUUAUUUCAGUUGACAGUUUUUGGUGACCACGAUGGGACCCUGAGCAGACUUCUCACCUUCGCCUGAAGUCUGCAAGGAACUGGAGCCUUGAUACCAGCAGAGGCCCUCUGCACCCAUCCGCCUCCUCGGAGAGUCCAGAUGAAUUUGGUUGCCAGUCUAGUACAUGGGUGUCCGUUGCUGAAAUAUGGCCAACAGAAGAACAGUGCAGAGAUUUAUCACCUACAGGCCUCAUGAGAACUGUGGGAUUCAAAGCUAAUUUUACCCAAAGCUCUGUGGCCAGUUAAAUCUGCUUCAUAUACGGUCCAGCCUGAAACAGGACAGCAGACCACACAGCCUGGUCAGCGUUGAUGCCUAGGACCCUGGACUCCCUUCUCCAUGAGCAUUUUAGGAGCUCGUGCGCAUGUUUUAAAGGCUUUGGCUCAUUUUAUUCUCCAACAACAGACAUGAAAAACCUGAGGUGCAGAGUAACACACGACUGGUUACACAGCUAGAAUUGGCAGAGCAAGGAACUGAACCCAGGACAGUUGGCUCCAAAGCCUGUGCUUUUUAACCAUUAGCAAGGACAGAGAUGGGUGGAUGGAUGGAUGAACAGAAAUGGAUAGCUCGAAAGUCAGAAAAAUGAUGCAUGGAUAUAUCUGUAACAAUGCAAAACUUUGAAAAGGGAGAUGGACUGGGUAGACAUGGAAGACGUGAAACUCCCUGUGCCAGGUUUGGAAUACAAUGUUCUCUGAAGUAUGUAAAAUAAAACAUCUAACAAAAA